rnacentral:rRNA from 1 species
AAGACCUUGCGCUUUUGGAGCGGCCGAMGCCUGAUUAGCUUGUUGGUAAGGUAAAAGCUUACCAAGGCUUCGAUCAGUAGCUGGUCUGAGAGGACGGCCAGCCACACUGGGACUGAGACACGGCCCAGACUCCUACGGGAGGCAGCAGUGGGGAAUUUUGGACAAUGGGGGCAACCCUGAUCCAGCCAUGCCGCGUGAGUGAAGAAGGCCUUCGGGUUGUAAAGCUCUUUCAGCCGGAACGAAACGGUUACGGUUAAUACCCGUGAUUACUGACGGUACCGGAAGAAGAAGCACCGGCUAACUACGUGCCAGCAGCCGCGGUAAUACGUAGGGUGCGAGCGUUAAUCGGAAUUACUGGGCGUAAAACGUGCGCAGGUGGUUUUGUAAGUCAGAUGUGAAAGCCCCGGGCUCAACCUGGGAACU